CAAACCAAAGCUGGCGACCGGCGCACGGGUGAGUAACACGUAUCCAACCUGCCUCAUACUCGGGGAUAGCCUUUCGAAAGAAAGAUUAAUAUCCGAUAGCAUAUAUUUCCCGCAUGGGUUUUAUAUUAAAGAAAUUCGGUAUGAGAUGGGGAUGCGUUCCAUUAGUUUGUUGGGGGGGUAACGGCCCACCAAGACUACGAUGGAUAGGGGUUCUGAGAGGAAGGUCCCCCACAUUGGAACUGAGACGCGGUCCAA
rnacentral:rRNA from 1 species